rnacentral:misc_RNA from 1 species
GAUGAAGAACGCAGCGAAAUGCGAUAAGUAAUGUGAAUUGCAGAAUUCAGUGAAUCAUCGAAUCUUUGAACGCACCUUGCGCCCUUUGGUAUUCCGGAGGGCAUGCCUAUUUGAGUGUCAUUAAUACUCUCAACUCUGAAGUUUUCUUAACCUGAAGGCUUUGUGAGCUUGGACUUGGGUGUCUUGUUGGCGUCAGACGUUGACUCAUCCGAAAUGCAUUAGCUGGACUUGUUGUAACUUGGUUCCACUCGACGUGAUAAGUUAUCUAUCGUUGAGGACGCCCCUGGCGGCCAGGUGAACAGCAGGGUCUGCUUUCUAAAUCUAUUUUAUGAUCUGACCUCAAAUCAGGUAGGGUUACCCGCUGAACUUAAGCAUAUCAAUAAGCGGAGGA